AAGGACUGCCAAUCCCACAGCUUUUAUUGUGGCUGUUUCCGUCCCCCUCCUACCGAUUCAAAGCCCUCCGCGUGGAAGCCUCUCGAAUCCCCUCUCCCUUCAAAAGCUCAUCCCAAUCCUUCAGAAAGCAAAGCAAAGAAUAAAGACAAAUUCUGCUGGAAGCAAAGCCAAUUUCCGAACCAAGACCUCACAACUCCAACCCGGAGAUUCCCCUUCUGGUCCUCUCUCUUCCCCUUUCUACAAUCAACCUUUUAACAAGCUCUCAAUCAGGAUGUAAGAGAGAGAUAGAGAGAGAGAAGAGAGAGAGAGAGAGGAGGGAGAGAGAGAGAGG
rnacentral:lncRNA from 1 species